AUGUAUAUGUAUAUGGGGUUAUCCGCAGCGGGCUUCCAGAGGCUCCCCAGCUAAAGAUGAAAGGAGACAACUUCCCUGCCCAAGCCUGUCUUGGUGUCCUCCCAACCUGAUACAUGACAUGAAGCCCAUCCCCAGGUCCUGGACCCAGGGAACCAGGCAAGAUUUGAUGCCAGCAGGGAAGAGGGGACCCCUCCACCACCCGGAUAUGGGAAAGUUGCUCCAGCUGCCAGGCCAGGCCAUUCUGGAAACUGCAAGUUAAACACCAACCAGGAAGGGCUGCUCCGGCCUUAACCCUCCCCUUCCCGGCACAGGCCCAGGCCUCAGGCCAAUGGGGCCGCAGAUCUCCGGCCUGGACUCUCAGGAGCCCUGGGGUCGGGUUUGCGGGCUCUUCUCAGCCUGGAGAUCAAGGAACAAAAAUUGUAUUUACGCUCCUGGCAAGCAGCUGAUUUUCCUGAUCGCCCACCCGGCUGCACACGGCUCCACAGCGUCGGGUGGGGAGCGACUCCUUGUCCCUGAGACUGUGAACCGCAGAGAGAGGCCGUCUGGGGCCGGGAACCCCCUGCCCCCCACAAGCCCUCCUGGCCUCCCUCCGGCCUCCUGUCCCUGCUUCUCUCCCGUCACUUGCUCUUCCCGGCACCGGGUCUCCAGUGUCUUUGCCUGCCCUGUCCCCACCGACUCCUGGCGUGCCCCCCGGGAGGCCACUUAGCGGUACAGACAAGCUCACUGCCCGAGCCCUGGGUCAGCCCUGACCUGCAGCAGCAGAGGAUGAUGGCUCCAGCCCCACCCCUGGGACUCCUCACCGAUUCCUGAACCAUAAGCUUCAUCUGCUGGGCCAGACAUCUUGUAUUUGCUAUCACCGCUCUCCCCCGCCCCCCAACCCAGCCCUCCCUGCAUUCAGCAGGUGCUCACUGAGCUCCUGCCCUGCAUCUGACAAUGCUCCGGCAUCUGGGAUACAGCAGAAAACAAAGCAGACAAAGUCGCUGCCUUCUUGCUGCUGAUAUUUCCUCGAAAGAGACAGACGAGAGGCACCUGGGUGGCUCAGUUAGUUAAGCAUCUGCCUUUGUCUCAGGUUAUGAUCCCAGGGUCCUGGGAUUGAACCCCUCAUAGGGCACCCUGCUCAGCAAGGAGCUGGCUUCUCCCUCUCUCUCUGCUACUCCCCUGGCUUAUU